AUUGUAUAGCUGUGAGGAUCUUAGCUUUGACUUUGUUAAGUGGACACAUGAACAUGGUACUAUGGCAUGCGUUGGAGCACCAAAAAUUCUGUAUUUCUUUUUAUUGAAGACCUUGCAAUGUUUGGAUUUGAGCCAAUACAUAAUUAGCUGCAUGAUCAAAGGAGAGGAAACUGCAUUAUGUCCCUGAACUCGAACAAAAAGGUGCAAGAUCUGCAAACAGAAGCCACUAAGUUUUCAGCUUAGUGGACAUUUUUAUAGAUUUAUAAGAGGUGGUGGCGAGAAAAAUUUUGGUAGUAUUUUGGCGAUGUAUUCAAUCAAGUUUAAGAAUUUAACAUAUUUUGAAAACUUUACAUUUGAUAGCAUGUAGAAAUGACAAAAACACUAUUAUUGUGUUUUGUUUUUUGGUUGUGUUUGGUAUAUUAGGUGACAAUGCAAUGAUACUCUAACAUUUAAAGUUUGAUUCAGUCUUUCUUAUUUGCCUUA